GAAGGGAGCAAGUGGGACUGGCAGCGGCAGCCUAAGAGGCAGAAGGGACGAAAGGGGCGAGACCUGCGAGAGUUCCCCAUGGAAGGAAUUCCAUUUUAUGCCUGCAGACCUUGGGAAGCUGGUAUUUCUCAGGGUGGAACUGCGGGGCGCCCUCCUCCCCAAAGCAGGGAGGACAGGAAGCACCAGACACAGGAGGUACCGCGGGCCCAUUUCCCGCUCGCCACCGGAGUUCAGUUCCACAGAAUUCGAACCCAACUUCCAAGAACCCACCACUGGCCCCUCUGUGUGAAGAAAGGAGCACACAGACUUCCUUUGAGAACUCCGACUGCUGCUUUCUCUUCAGUGUCUACUAUCUACUUCCAGACUGCUUUCCAGGCUCUUCCACUAGGUCUUGCUCUGACCUGAAGAGUGACUAAAGGAAGCUUUGCCUAGUAGAGGGAAAUGCCCUGAAGAGUAAUGGGCAUCAGCUCUCAACUUAAGAACCUCUACCAAGACUUCCCACUUACAAAAUACUUGAACUUUUGCAUAAGCUUAUUGUACAUGGUUGUAAAUCCAGUGAGGUCAAGUGAACAGUGAUUUUUAUUAAUGCACUUUAUGUAAAAGGAAAGCAAGAAAGGCAAAUUGGUUUCUUGAGGUUAGUCAGUUAAUCUGUUGCAGAGCUGAAACUGAAAAGCAAGCCUACCUAUGCUUUCCAUGAUACUCACAUCCUAAGAGAGUUGACAAAAACAAAGAACAAAAGGUGAAAGAAUGAGCCCUAGAGACAAAAAAAAUGUGAUGGCUUCCCUCUGACACUUCUCCCAACCUAUACUCCUUCCAGUUUUGCUGCCUUAUCUUCUUGUGGUUUCUAUGACUUUGGUUUCCAUUCAGGAGCAUUUUGGAUAAUUCACAUUUCUCUCUUGUACCCUGGAGGCACUGGGGAUGGAAAUCAGAGAUGUGGGGAAAAGAAAUCGUGGCAUCUCCAGAGACAUGCUUAGAAGAGGGGAGAUUCUUCCACACUCCCCGUAAGAGGAAGUGAGAAUCACAGAGGUGAAAGCCAGAGAUGCCUGGGGAGGCAAAUAUUUUGAAUCCUAAAUUUAUUAUGUCUUUCUUGAUUUUUAGGUUUGGACAGAUUGCUGCAUCUGUCUGCCUCGGUAUUGUUGUUUGUAAUUGUAGAAUGAGAAUGUAAGACUGCUAAAGGAAUACUAGAUCCUUUACUCUUAAAAAUCCUCAGCUAACAAGUAAAUGUGCUGGAAGGAAUUGGAUUUCUCAAAUCACUUUGAGAUUUGGCCAAUCAUUCAUUUUAUAUACUCACAACAUUUAAUUAACCAGUUAUAUUAAUCAUUGUAAGCCCUAGAAAAACAUUUACUGUAGUUAAUUGAUCCAAUU